rnacentral:rRNA from 1 species
UACGGAGGGUGCAAGCGUUGCUCGGAAUUAUUGGGCGUAAAGGGUAGGUAGGUGGUCUCAUUUGUCUGGGGUGAAAGCCUUGAGCUUAACUCAAGAAGUGCCGCGGAAACGGUCAGACUUGGAGUACUGGAGAGGUAAGCGGAAUUCCCGGUGUAGCGGUGAAAUGCGUAGAGAUCGGGGGGAACACCAGCGGCGAAGGCGGCUUACUGGACAGUUACUGACACUCAACUACGAAAGCGUGGGGAGCAAACAGG